AAUUUUUUUCAGUCCCUCUGAAACUCUCUCUUUCUUCUCUCUCCUUCAUCACUGCCCCAUUCUUGCGAAAAUCCUCCCCCUUUCCCUCUUAGAAUGUUCAUAUUCCCAGAAUACUCUACCCCUAAUUUUUCGUGUAGCAGCCAGAGUCCUCUCUGACCCUAAACUCACUCACUCUCUCUCUAACCCAAAACCCUCUCUAGCUCUAUCUGAUUCCAAAUCCCUUUUAUUCUCUUUAACCCCAAACGAGCUCAUUCUUUCUCAUCUAGACAUCCUCUUCGUUCCCAAACCCUCUCACGACUGCAAUCGCAAGAAGAGGUGCCAUGUGAUUGGUUGAAGUUAGAGAAAAAGCUGGGUGAGAGGACGGUGGGAAAGAGAGUGUGCGGUAGAUAGCAGGUGUUCGACUGAUCGUGUGGAUCUGCCUGAAAAUGGUGCCGCCCAAGUGUUCGAUGAAAGGUCUGAACACAGCGUUUGAGGCAGGAUCAACGCCACUACCCCAUGACCACUAACUGCUCCACAUUUUGAGCUAGAAGGAAGGACACGUACACCCAAAUGGAAUUGGAUGAGGUGCGAGAAGAAUUGGCAAGUCAUGUCCUAGAAUGGCUUUUUGAUUAAGCUAAACAUUCCUUCAUUUUACAUGUCUUUCUAGCUAGUAUUUUGCUUAUGCAUAGACAAGUAUGGAUAAUUUGUGGUGUAGGGCUGGUAAAUUUGUGAUUUGGAUGUGACAAGUAUGGAUCAUUCAAGUAUUUUGCUUAUA